ACCCAUCCAAAUUAAAGAAAAAAAAAAGGAAGAAACAGCCUUCCUAAUUUAAGAAAUGAAGAUGAUAACUUAUAUCUUUGCAUUUCUUGUUAUACAAAAAGUGGCUAUAUUUCAAAAUAGCUUUACAGAAAAAGCCUCUUUAGGUAUAAUAGGAAUAUGGCUACUGCAGGCUGUUUCUGUCACGGAGAAACCUGCUCAGUCGAUAUCGCCGCCGAGACCUGCUCUGCCACCGCCUCCACCACCGCGGGGUGGGAUAAUAAUUAGUCCAUUAUUACUUGUUCCAGCUUCUGCACCAAAGGAUGGCCACAGAGUCAGGCCAGGAGUAUUCCCACCCCCACUACCUCCCUAUUAAUGAUUGAUCAUGUUCAAGUUUUAUGUACUUCAGAUAGCUAGCACUCUUUCUCAGUAAUUACUGACAUAUAUAGUCCAACAAUUGGUCAUCAAAUAAUUAUGAUAAAUAUCGUAAAAUGUUGUUUGCGGAGAGUUUUUUAAGUGGUCUUAUA
rnacentral:lncRNA from 1 species